rnacentral:rRNA from 1 species
UACGGGGGGGGCAAGCGUUGUUCGGAAUUACUGGGCGUAAAGGGCGCGUAGGCGGCCUGCUAAGUCACACGUGAAAUCCCUCGGCUCAACCGGGGAACUGCGUCUGAUACUGGCGGGCUUGAAUUCGGGAGAGGGAUGUGGAAUUCCAGGUGUAGCGGUGAAAUGCGUAGAUAUCUGGAGGAACACCGGUGGCGAAGGCGGCAUCCUGGACCGACAUUGACGCUGAGGCGCGAAAGCCAGGGGAGCAAACGGG